rnacentral:snRNA from 1 species
GGAUGUGAGGGCGAUCUGGCUGCGACAUCUGUCACCCCAUUGAUCGCCAGGGUUGAUUCGGCUGAUCUGGCUGGCUAGGCGGGUGUCCCCUUCCUCCCUCACCGCUCCAUGUGCGUCCCUCCCGAAGCUGCGCGCUCGGUCGAAGAGGACGACCAUCCCCGAUAGAGGAGGACCGUUCUUCGGUCAAGGGUAUACGAGUAGCUGCGCUCCCCUGCUAGAACCUCCAAACAAGCUCUCAAGACUAUAGUGAAUGAAAGCAAAUAAACAGAGUAGUAGCUUCAAAUACUCAAAAAAAAAAAAGACUAUAGUGAAAUUAUUCUUU